rnacentral:rRNA from 1 species
UCAACCUGAACUCAGUCGUGAUUACCCGCUGAACUUAAGCAUAUCAUUUAGCGGAGGAAAAGAAACUAAAAAGGAUUCCCUUAGUAACGGCGAGUGAAACGGGAUGAGCCCAGCGCCGAAUCGAUCAGCCUAUGGUUGCUUCGAAAUGUGGCGUAUAGGUGUAGUCUUCCAGCAGUGUCGUGAGUCCGAAGUCCUUACGAUUGAGGCCAUAGACCAGAGAGGGUGCGAGUCCCGUCCUGGAUUGCGAUGCUGUUGGUUCGAUUGCUCCUUGGAGUCGGGUUGCUUGAAAGUGCAGCCUAAAGUGGGUGAUAAACUUCAUCUAAGGCUAAAUAUUGACUCGAUUGCGAUAGCGAACAAGUACCGUGAGGGAAAGUUGCAAAGGACUUUGAAGAGAGAGUUCAAGAGAACGUGAAAUCGCUGGAGUGGAACCGGAGACAGUUGAUGUUGCUUGGAGACAAGUUUGGUGGCUGGUCGCUUAGUUGUGAUCGUCGCCGGAUGUCGUUUCCUAUGCUACGCCGACGGCGUUGGUCGCUCGUUCUGGCCCGAUAGUGUUGCCCAGCUCGCAAGAGUCGGUGUCUUGUUAUCGGUCGUUGGUUCGUGGUGGCUAGCGUUUAGUUACGCUAGUGUGUGUGACGUCGGUGUGAAAGUCGACGACGUUUCCGACCCGUCUUGAAACACGGAUUGCGGAGUGCUUGUCUACUGCGAGUCAAAGGGUGUUAAAACCUUGCGGCGAAAUGAAAGUGAAGGUCAGUCUUGAAUUGGCCGACGUGGGAUCGGUGCUCCUCGGAGUGCUGCGCACCACGGCCCUGUGCGUGUCACUUGUGACUGUGCAGAGGUUGAGCAGUUGGCAAACGACCCGAAAGAUGGUGAACUAUGCCUGAGCAGGAUGAAGCCAGAGGAAACUCUGGUGGAAGUCCGUAUCGGUUCUGACGUGCAAAUCGAUCGAUAGACUUGGGUAUAGGGGCGAAAGACUAAUCGAACCAUCUAGUAGCUGGUUCCUUCCGAAGUUUCCCUCAGGAUAGCUGGAUCUCCGGCAGUUAUAUUCGGUAAAGCUAAUGAUUAGAGGCCUUGGGGACGUAAUGUCCUCAACCUAUUCUCAAACUUUCAAUGGAUAUGAAGUUGCAGUUUCUUUAGUGAACUGUCAACGUGAAUGCGAGGUCCAAGUGGGCCAUUUUUGGUAAGCAGAACUGGCGCUGUGGGAUGAACCAAACGUGGAGUUAAGGUGCCUAACUUCUCGCUCAUGAGACCCCAUAAAAGGUGUUGGUUGAUAUUGACAGCAGGACGGUGGCCAUGGAAGUCGGUAUCCGCUAAGGAGUGUGUAACAACUCACCUGCCGAAUCAACUAGCCCUGAAAAUGGAUGGCGCUUAAGCGAGAGACCUAUACUCCGCCGUUGCGGCAUGUGCGUUGUCUAGCGCCAGGCCGUAACGAGUAGGAAGUGUGGCGUUGCUUUGAAGGCUAUGAGCGUGGGCUCGGCUGGAGCUUCCGUCAGUGCAGAUCGUAAUGGUAGUAGCAAAUAUUCAGUUCGAUCCUUGAAGACUGAAGUGGAGAAGGGUUCCACGUGAACAGUAGUUGGAUGUGGGUCAGUCGAUCCUAAGGUACUGGCGAACGCCUUGUAUCAUCGGUGGCGAAAAGCUUGCUUUUGGUCCCCGUUUGUCGAAAGGGAAUAGGGUUAAUAUUCCCUAACUGAGAUGCAAAGAUUGUGUUCUUCGGAGCACAAGCGCGGUAACGCAUUCGAACUUGGUUAGUCGCUCAAAGACCGAGCUAGAGUUUUCUUCUCUAGUUAAGGAACGGACUCCCUGGAAUUGGUUCAGCCAGAGAUGGGGACGUUGUUUCCGAAAAGCACCGCGGUUUCUGUGGUGUCUCGUGCUCUUUGAACGGCCCUUAAAACACCAAGGGAGGCUAUUAAUUUGCACUCAAUCGUACCGAUAUCCGCAUUAGGUCUCCAAGGUGAACAGCCUCUAGUCGAUAGAAUAAUGUAGGUAAGGGAAGUCGGCAAACUAGAUCCGUAACUUCGGGAAAAGGAUUGGCUCCAGUGGUUGGAACGAUUGGCCAGUUGGUUGAUGCUUGUCCGGCGCUAUUCUGUCUGCUUGAUGCUCUCGGGCUGAUGGCGGACUAGUGAUAGUGCUUGCUUGUGGACGCUUUCUGGUGUGUGCUAGGACCUCGGUUCUAGUAUCCUGAUCGCUCAUCUAAACAACCGUACUGGAACCGGUACGGACUCAGGGAAUCCGACUGUCUAAUUAAAACAGAGGUGACAGAUGGUCCUUGCGGACGCUGACUGUCACUGAUUUCUGCCCAGUGCUCUGAAUGUUAAAUCGUAGUAAUUCGAGUAAGCGCGGGUAAACGGCGGGAGUAACUAUGACUCUCUUAAGGUAGCCAAAUGCCUCGUCAUUUAAUUGUUGACGCGCAUGAAUGGAUUAACGAGAUUCCUACUGUCCCUAACUACUAUCUAGCGAAACCACAGCCAAGGGAACGGGCUUGGCAAAAAUAGCGGGGAAAGAA